rnacentral:rRNA from 1 species
UACGAAGGGUGCAAGCGUUACUCGGAAUUACUGGGCGUAAAGCGUGCGUAGGUGGUUCGUUAAGUCUGAUGUGAAAGCCCUGGGCUCAACCUGGGAACUGCAUUGGAUACUGGCGAUCUGGAGUGCGGUAGAGGGUGGCGGAAUUCCCGGUGUAGCAGUGAAAUGCGUAGAUAUCGGGAGGAACAUCCGUGGCGAAGGCGGCCACCUGGACCAGCACUGACACUGAGGCACGAAAGCGUGGGGAGCAAACAGGAUUAGAUACCCUGGUAGUCCACGCCCUAAACGAUGCGAACUGGAUGUUGGGUGCAACUUGGCACUCAGUAUCGAAGCUAACGCGUUAAGUUCGCCGCCUGGGAAGUACGGUCGCAAGACUGAA